UACGGGGGGGGCAAGGGUUGUUCGGAAUUACUGGGCGUAAAGGGCUCGUAGGCGGCCAACUAAGUCAGACGUGAAAUCCCUCGGCUUAACCGGGGAACUGCGUCUGAUACUGGAUGGCUUGAGGUUGGGAGAGGGAUGCGGAAUUCCAGGUGUAGCGGUGAAAUGCGUAGAUAUCUGGAGGAACACCGGUGGCGAAGGCGGCAUCCUGGACCAACACUGACGCUGAGUGAGCGAAAGCCAGGGGAGCAAACGGG
rnacentral:rRNA from 1 species